UACAGCGAUUUAUCAUUGAAUUCCAAGGGAUCAUGUGUGUUAGUGGAGACCUAGCUCUGUAUCCAACAGCAUGUGUGCCAACUCGAUCAUGGGGUGCUUUGAGUACUUGGAAAGGAGCUAGUUCAUGACUGCAGGGACUAAGAUGAGGUUGAUCUUGAGGAUGGCGAGAUGGGAAAAGCGGACUAUAUAUUGUGGGGAAGAGCAAGCUUUGAGAUGGGCUGGAAGGAGAAGGGUUCCAUGGAUUCCAGAGGUAUGGAUUUGUUUUGUAGGGCAAAAGGGCUUUUUGGAUGGGUCCAAUGGAGAUUACUUUUAUGAU
rnacentral:lncRNA from 1 species